AGGUUCGAUCUGGCUCAGGACGACGCUGGCGGCAUGCCUAACACAUGCAAGUCGAACGGGGGUAGCAAUACCCUAGUGGCGAACGGGUGAGUAACACAUAAGCAAUCUGCCCUUCACAGGGGGAUAACAGCGGGCAACUGCUGCUAAUACCGCAUAAGACCACGGUACCGCAUGGUACAGGGGUAAAAACGAUCAGUGGUGAAGGAUGAGCUUAUGUCCCAUUAGCUAGUUGGUGAGAUAACAGCCCACCAAGGCGACGAUGGGUAGCCGACCUGAGAGGGUGAUCGGCCACACUGGAACUGAGACACGGUCCAGACUCCUACGGGAGGCAGCAGUGGGGAAUAUUGGGCAAUGGAGGGAAAAACCUCUUACCCAGCAAUGCCGCGUGAGUGAAGAAGGUCUUCGGAUUGUAAAGCUCUUUGAUUGGGGACGAAGAAAGUGACGGUACCCAAAGAACAAGCCCCGGCUAACUACGUGCCAGCAGCCGC
rnacentral:rRNA from 1 species